rnacentral:rRNA from 1 species
GAACGCUAGCGGCAGGCUUAACACAUGCAAGUCAGGGGCAGCAUGACACGGGAGAUUCGUCGAAGUGUUGAUGGCGACCGGCGCAAGGGUGCGUAACGCGUGAGCAACUUGCCCCGUUUCUGGGGGAAUAACCCGGUGGAAACGCCGACUAAUACCCCAUAGCAUCAACUUAGGGCAUCCUUAGUUGAUUAAAGAAUUUCGGAAACGGAUAGGCUCGCGUGACAUUAGCUGGAUGGCGGGGUAACGGCCCACCAUGGCUACGAUGUCUAGGGGUUCUGAGAGGAAGGUCCCCCACACUGGAACUGAGACACGGUCCAGACUCCUACGGGAGGCAGCAGUGAGGAAUAUUGGUCAAUGGUCUGACGACUGAACCAGCCAUGCCGCGUGAGGGUCACGGCCCUAUGGGUCUUAAACUUCUUUUGUAAGGGAGCAAUAAGUCUCACGUGUGGGAUGAUGAGAGUACCUUACGAAUAAGCAUCGGCUAACUCCGUG